CCAGCGGAGGAAGGAGGAGAGAGACUGGAGAAAAGCGACAUGAAAAGAUUGUGUUGAAAAAUCUGCAUGGGAAAUAAAAUACAACUCUGGUAAAACGGCACGCCUGGCUCUUGUGACGUGGUAUCCGUGCAACGGGGUGGAAAAGAACAGAAAAAUGGAAUCGAGCUUCAACCUGAUGCGGAACAUCAGCGCUCCCCGCUGGCGGACACAGGGAAAAAGAAUACAACAGUGCGCCGAGAUCAAUAAUCAAUAAUUAUGCCCGCAUGGAACUCAUUUUCUCACAUUAACUUUAUUUUCUUGUCUUUGGAACAAGAACGGCCUCCGGCAUAUGCCAAAGAAAUACAACUUGUGGAGAGAAACAAACCCUUUAUACCAGGCUUGGGCAAUUAUUUUUGCCUCAGGGGGCUUAAUUUAGAGAAAAAA